rnacentral:tRNA from 1 species
GCCGAGGUGGCGGAAUUGGUAGACGCGCGAGACUUAAAAUCUCGUGGUGGCAGCACCGUAAGGGUUCGAUUCCCUUCCUCGGCA